rnacentral:lncRNA from 1 species
CAUGUUCUCACUUUUAAGUGGGAACCAAAUAAGGAGAACUCAUGAACACAAAGAAAGGAACAACAAACAUUGGGUCCUACUUGAGGGUGGAGGGUGAGAGAAGGGAGAGGAGCAGAAAAAAUAACUAUUGGGUACUAGGCUUAGUAGCUGGGUGACAAAAUAAUCUGUACGACAAACACCCAUGACACAAGUUUACCUAUGUAACAAACCUGCACAUGUACCUCUGAGCCUAAAAUAAAAGUUAAAAAUAAAUAAAUAAAUAAAUAGAAACACCAAAAAUUUUUUAAAAAAGAAAAUCAAAUGGCCCAUUAAAUCAUGGGGUUGCAGCCUAGGGAACUGAUUAACAUUGGCUGAAUACAUGUUGUGUGCUAGGAUUAUUAGGCAUGUUAAUAAAAUCAUUGAAACAAAAAACAAAACAAAAAAGAUGUACAGAAGAAAAUUAGGCCCUGCAUUCUAAGAUUUCAUGCUGGUAGGGAUGAUACUGGCUUUUUUUUUUUUUUUUUUUUUUUUGCCAGUUCUACAUACACAGCUAUCAGAUUAUUAUAAAUUUAAGAGUCAAUCCUGGAGUGACAUGAGUAGCAGAAUGCCAAGUCCAUGAGUCACUUGAUAACUACUGGACAUGCACAUGAGAAUAUGAUGAGGAUGGUGCCUUAGAAUGGGGAUUCUCAAUCUGAGGUAGGAAGACGUGAUGAGCCACAAAAUUCUUAUUACAAAUUAAAAGGAAGAUCAAGAAUCGCUGAUAGAAUUGAGAAGAUCUGAAGGGGCAUAUGGUGUAAGUUUAGCCCAACUAAAGUGGAAAUGUUAACAGAAGUACCUGGCAGGCAUCAAACAGAGGCAGCUUAUCAUGAAUGUUGCUCAGCUUACUUUCUCAGAGAAUCCAGAAUUCACUACAAUAGUUGUUACUAAUGGCUGGUCAACCUGCUCCAGGUUGUCUUUUUGAUGGCUUCCAGCCAAUCAGCUUACUCAAAGAAAAGUAAAACAAAAUACACUGCUCUCAGAUAGUCUAUGUGUGUUUUUUCCUACCUCGUCUCUUUCUUUUAUAAAUUCUGUUUUUGUUAUAUUUGUUGACAACUGUUUAGUGACUGACUCUCUUUUCUGUGAGUAACCUUUUCUGUGAAUACUCACUAAAGGUUUCUUGAGUUAUUUGUCAACAGUCCAAAUCCAUGAUAACUUACACUUUUGUAAUAAUAGGUUGGUGAAAAGUAACUGUGGUUUUUGAAUUAAAAGUAAU